UGACGAAUAUGACGUCUCCCAGCGGAUCCUAGGCGUUUACUAUGGCCAGCAUCUAGCACCGGGCCUGGCGAUUUUCCGAAGUAUAAUAUAGUGGGAAGGCAAUGCGCCUCAGUCACAAACGUCGCACUUUAAACACUUAAAGGCAAGCCACCUAAAACCUGUCUCCUCGCGAGCAGAACGCAAGAAAUCGCAUCUGCUCUGCAGAACUUUGGUUAUGUGUAAGCUAAGAAGGAUGCGCUUCCAGCUGGUGAAACACUUCUGCGCAUCUAUGCAUUUUCCAGCGGAGACAGCGAAUAAACCGCCAGAACACCGAGUUCACUUCCGAGAGAGGAGGUCGCGUCACUUCCGCUCGCUGGUCUAAAACCGCGCGUGCGCAUUGCGUCCCUUCUUCUUUGGGCUUGGGUUUGGGUGACACGGGGAUUGUCUGCGUAAACUCUUUGGAAGUCGCUAUCCAUCGUCAUCUGCCUUAGUCUCCGGCGUCCCGCUCUCAGCCCACCUCGGGUAGUCUGUGCUGUCCCUGUCCUGUCUGCUGUCGGGAUUCUCCCGGCUUCUGGAGCCCCGUACGCGGCCAGUUGCGGCUUCAACUCUCUCCUCAGCCUUUCAACUAUAGAAUUACAGCUGUGUACCCAUGAUUCUUCAUUAGAAUGGGAACAUUUCUAGUCUUAGUCCUGUUUUAAGAUAACUUUCUUCUCAGAAAGUUCCAUAAGUAAUUUUUUUGUUGUUCAAUUUUGUUAUGAUCUAUUUUCCUUUUAAAAUAGCCUUUGUAUUCUUGGUCGUUAGAUGGCUGUUGGAUGACAGGAUGAGGGUGAAGAAAUAACAAGUAAAUGCAACAACUAGCUCAUAAACUCACAUCUUACAUUUGGAUUUGCAUUUCGUAUGUGAUUAUGAAUUAAUAGAUAUUUACCUAUGGAUACUACUGUCAGUACACAUAAAUUAUGGAAGAAAAUUUACCGAAAUAUAUAUUAUGAAUAUAUUCAUUUGAGACAGAGUCUCACUCUGUGGCUCAGACAUGUCUAGCUCACACUGGUUUGAGUCUUAGCAAACCUGUUGCAUGAAUCUCCCAGGUCCUUGACUAAAGAUCCGGUUCCACCGAUAAAGCUCUGGACGUUAUCCUGAGGCUUUUCGUGUCUAUAAUCUUAAAAGGAAACAACUGAGUGAUAAAAAAUAAUCUUUUCAGAGUUAUGGACAUCCUCCGCUUAAGGUUCUAGAAGCUAUGCCAGAGGCAAGGCAGGUAUGGAAAUAGUGGCCUCCAGACACAACAGGACUGAUUCACAUAUAACCUCCGGGAUGUGGCGGCACACGGAGGGCCUACACAGGUUCAAGCCAGAUGGGGCCAUAGUCCUGAGAUAUGAAAGUGAACAUAAACUCCCAUCUCUAACCAAGAAGCUGUCUUAAAUGACGUCUACUUGCAACAGACAAAUUAUUUUUCUCCAGUGGAGUCUUACUGGAAAUCUACACCCCAUAUAAGGGCAAUAACUGACAUGCAAUUCAAUUCCAUGUGAAAUUCUGGGAAGAAAUCUAUUCAGUAUUAAUAUAAACAACUUCCAUUCGAACAACACAAAUGCCAUUCCCUGAAGAUGCUGUGUAUUUUACCACAAUAAACAAUAUGUUUUGAAAAAAAACAGUCAAGAAUCA